rnacentral:rRNA from 1 species
GAUGAACGCUGGCGGCGUGCCUAAUACAUGCAAGUCGAGCGAACAGACGGGGAGCUUGCUCCUCUGACGUUAGCGGCGGACGGGUGAGUAACACGUGGAUAACCUACCUAUAAGACUGGGAUAACUUCGGGAAACCGGAGCUAAUACCGGAUAAUAUAUUGAACCGCAUGGUUCAAUAGUGAAAGACGGUUUUGCUGUCACUUAUAGAUGGAUCCGCGCCGCAUUAGCUAGUUGGUAAGGUAACGGCUUACCAAGGCAUCGAUGCGUAGCCGACCUGAGAGGGUGAUCGGCCACACUGGAACUGAGACACGGUCCAGACUCCUACGGGAGGCAGCAGUAGGGAAUCUUCCGCAAUGGGCGAAAGCCUGACGGAGCAACGCCGCGUGAGUGAUGAAGGUCUUCGGAUCGUAAAACUCUGUUAUUAGGGAAGAACAAAUGUGUAAGUAACUAUGCACGUCUUGACGGUACCUAAUCAGAAAGCCACGGCUAACUACGUG